rnacentral:lncRNA from 1 species
CAAAACGAACCCCCUUAUCGCCUCCUUGACAUUGCCGGCGAACCCCACCCUCCGUGUUAACGAUUAACGGUCUGUGAUCCGAAUGGCGCGGCCACCCAUGCACCACGGUAAAGCCUGGAAACAUCUCACACCAUUCGGUGUUUGCUGUUGCUCGGUCUAGCCGUUCGCAUAUAUAUGAACGCGCCUCUUUGCUAUGGUUCCUCCACGUGAAUUUGUCUCCAGUAUAGCCAAUAUCACAUAGCCCGGCAUUCUCCAGCGUCUCACGAAACCUAUCCAUGCACGCCAGAGGUCUACGGC